GGAUUGUAGCUCAGUGGUAGAGCGCUUGCCAACCAUAUGUGAGACACUGGGUUCGAUUCUCAGCACCA
rnacentral:tRNA from 1 species